CGGAACGUGUCCUGUUNUGGGGGAGUAACUGAUCGAAAGAUCAGCUAAUACCGCAUGAGACCUGAGGGUGAAAGCGGGGGAUCGCAAGACCUCGCGCGACAGGAGCGGCCGAUGUCUGAUUAGCUAGUUGGUGAGAUAAAAGCUUACCAAGGCGACGAUCAGUAGCUGGUCUGAGAGGAUGAUCAGCCACAUUGGGACUGAGACACGGCCCAGACUCCUACGGGAGGCAGCAUG
rnacentral:rRNA from 1 species